rnacentral:rRNA from 1 species
UCAGUACGGCGAGUGAGCGGCAAAAGCUCAAAUUUGAAAUCUAGCACCUUCGGUGUUUGAGUUGUAAUUUGAAGAUGGUAACCUUGGGUUUGGCUCUUGUCUAUGUUCCUUGGAACAGGACGUCAUAGGGGGUGAGAAUCCCGUCUGAUGAGAUGCCCAUUCCUAUGUAAGGUGCUAUCGAAGAGUCGAGUUGUUUGGGAAUGCAGCUCUAAGUGGGUGGUAAAUUCCAUCUAAAGCUAAAUAUUGGCGAGAGACCGAUAGCGAACAAGUACAGUGAUGGAAAGAUGAAAAGAACUUUGAAAAGAGAGUGAAAAAGUACGUGAAAUUGUUGAAAGGGAAGGGCAUUAGAUCAGACUUGGUGUUUUACGAUUAUCUUCUCUUCUUGAGUUGUGCACUCGUAUUUCACUGGGCCAGCAUCGAUUCAGAUGGCAAGAUAAUGGCAGUUGAAUGUGGCUUCACUUCGGUGGAGUGUUAUAGCUUCUGCUGAUAUUGCCUGUCUGGAUCGAGGGCUGCGUCUUUUGACUAGGAUGCUGGCGUAAUGGUUAUUAAUCACCCGUCUU